UGACGAAUUAGAAUAUAAAUGUAUUUAUUAAAGUUGAGCAUACACGUGUUUUCUAUUAUGUAAACAAUCACACGUGAUUGUGUGUCCGCAUAGUGGUCAUCUAUUGGUGUUCAUAUUGGAUAAACAGGUUUGUGUUUUUAAAUAUAUGAUAUUUCGGAUUGGUCAAUAUUUGUCGCAUUGCGUAAAUAUAUUGAGUAUGAUAUUUGUUAUGUAAAUAGCACGGGAUUUUUAAAGCGCGAAUAGUUGUCUUGUUUAAGUGAUUUAAGAUAUAUGGUCAUUCGAAGCUCGUAUACCGUUCAGUAAGGCAGCUUAGUCUAGGUAAAGACCCCCCCCACCACACCCGGAUUAAGAUGCUUGUAUAUUUGAAAUGUUUUCACGCAUAGAUAGAUAGUUAUUUCUACUAUCAGUAGGACAUUAUUAAUAUUUAUAUGUAUAUAAGGUUUCUGAUUUUGUU
rnacentral:lncRNA from 1 species